GAUGAAGAACGCAGCGAAAUGCGAUAAGUAGUGUGAAUUGCAGAAUUCAGUGAAUCAUCGAAUCUUUGAACGCACAUUGCGCCCCUUGGUAUUCCUUAGGGCAUGCCUGUUCGAGCGUCAUUUAAACCUUCAAGCUCAGCUUGGUGUUGGGUGACUGUCCGCUUCACCGCGGACUCGCCUCAAAAUUAUUGGCGGCCGGUACAUUGGCUUCGAGCGCAGCAGAAACGCGAACUCGGGCCCGUCGUAUUGGCUCCCAGAAGCUAUCUUCACGAUUUUGACCUCGGAUCAGGUAGGGAUACCCGCUGAACUUAAGCAUAUCAAUAAGCGGAGGA
rnacentral:misc_RNA from 1 species